AAGUAAAUCGGUUUGUUCGACGUAACGCCAUAGGGUGAGCUGUCAAUGGAUCGUAACGAAACUUAUUCCGUACCUAAUGUGUAACUGAAGAUGACUGGUUAUUGUCAGUUACUGUACAAGACUCUCUAUUUGUAUUGUUGUCAGGGGAGGCCGAGUCUAAUAAACGGACAUUUAAUGAAUAUAAAGUGUUAGGUAAUAAAGGUUUUUCCAUCGUCCGCUUUUAAUACUUAAAACAUAACAGUAAACAUAUUAUAUUUAUUUAUUUCAUUGACCGUAUAAAAUAGGUACAAAGUAAACUAAAGUAAUAAGAAAUAAAGUAAAUUACUCUCCACAUGGAUGACCUCCAUGGCUCUUUCGUAAAAACAACACAACAAAACAUUAAUUGCUAGACUUCGUGGAUUCUUUCAUUUUGUAUUCAUCUCUGCAGUUAAAAACAUUAAAAUUACAUUUGUAAUUUGAGAGCUAACGAAGAUUUAUAAGACUUUUGGUAACCCAGAACGACUGAUUGUGACGCGGGUAGCGCAUUUACUUCAAAGUUAUUUAGAGUAUUGCAACGCUGGGCAUAUAAGACGUCAUAUUAUCGCGACAGCCGUACCUCGCUCGAACGGCCGAGACAGAGUAUAUUAAUGGGAUAUGCAUAUACCUAUUAUCCAGCAAAGCAGGUGAUAGCACUGUCAACAAAACAGCCGCAGUACCCAAUGAGGUGUUUUUCGGAUACAGGAUAGAGGAGUAACCGGAUGUUGUCGAUGAAAGCUUCCGCAUCAGGUCAUAACGAGUUCCAGGAGUAACUCGUGACGCAGGACGGCCGGAUGUUGUCGCCCUGGCAAUCCUGGCAUUGAUG